CACGUAGGGUGCGAGCGUUGUCCGGAAUUAUUGGGCGUAAAGAGCUCGUAGGCGGUGUGUCGCGUCGGCCGUGAAAACCUGCAGCUUAACUGUGGGCUUGCGGUCGAUACGGGCAUCACUGGAGUUCGGCAGGGGAGACUGGAAUUCCUGGUGUAGCGGUGAAAUGCGCAGAUAUCAGGAGGAACUCCGGUGGCGAAGGCGGCGUGCUGGACCCCAUCUGACGCUGAGACGCGAAAGCGUGGGGAGCAAACAGG
rnacentral:rRNA from 1 species